rnacentral:rRNA from 1 species
GAUGAACGCUGGCGGCGUGCCUAAUACAUGCAAGUCGAGCGAACAGACGAGGAGCUUGCUCCUCUGACGUUAGCGGCGGACGGGUGAGUAACACGUGGAUAACCUACCUAUAAGACUGGGAUAACUUCGGGAAACCGGAGCUAAUACCGGAUAAUAUAUUGAACCGCAUGGUUCAAUAGUGAAAGACGGUUUUGCUUUCACUUAUAGAUGGAUCCGCGCCGCAUUAGCUAGUUGGUAAGGUAACGGCUUACCAAGGCAACGAUGCGUAGCCGACCUGAGAGGGUGAUCGGCCACACUGGAACUGAGACACGGUCCAGACUCCUACGGGAGGCAGCAGUAGGGAAUCCUCCGCAAUGGGCGAAAGCCUGACGGAGCAACGCCGCGUGAGUGAUGAAGGUCUUCGGAUCGUAAAACUCUGUUAUUAGGGAAGAACAAAUGUGUAAGUAACUAUGCACGUCUUGACGGUACCUAAUCAGAAAGCCACGGCUAACUACGUG